GCCGGAGGCUCCGACGUGGCGCUCGCCGAAUUUCUCGGCUUGCACACGCAACCGCUUUCAACCAGAACGUAAUCUUGGCCAGUCAAGGUCACCGGUCCAAGCGGUAUCACCAGAAACAGUCGGCGAUAGAGAAUAUUUUAUCGAUAAAGGGAAAGGAGGAGAGAACGAAGAUUGAAAUUUCUCGGCAGUUUACUUUUGGUAUGCGACAGUUCGUGGCCGGAUAAUCGCGCUGACGCAUACCGGCUCAAAAACGUUCCAAAAGUAGGCUCCGUGUUGGUUAGACCUGUUCGGCCCACUGUGCUACAUUUGAAUCGAUACGACUUACCGGUACAGAUUUACAACGGAUGAGCGAAUUUUGAAACGACAUAUUCAACGACAUUGUCGUAAUGCGAUACUCACUCGCAAACUUCGAACACGACUUGCUGCAAAAGGUCGGGGAACUUCUGCACGAUGGUCACAGGCUGA